CAGAUCGAGACCAUCCUGGCUAACAUCGUGAAACCCUGUCUCUACUAAAAAUACAAAAAAUUAUCUGGGCGGGGUGGCGGGGCCUGUAGUCCCAGCUACUGGGGAGGCUGGGGCGGGAGAAUGGGGUGAACCCGGGAGGCGGAGCUUGCAGUGAACCAAGAUAGCGCCACUGCACUCCAGCCUGGGCGACAGAGCGAAACUCCGUCUCAAAAAAAAAAAAAAAAAAAAAAAAAAAUCAAAGCUGCUAUCUAUGGAUGACAAAGACUUAGAAUGACGUCUGAACUCUCAUCAGGUUGUUAGCAAUCUUGUGAACCCAGAAAAUCUGAGACAGGUCUCAGUUAAUUUAGAAGGUUUAUUUUGCCAAGGUUGAUGAUGCGUCUGUGACACAGCCUCAGGAAAUCCUGACCACAUGUGCCCAAGGUGGUCGGGGCACAGCUUGGUUUAUACAUUUUAGGGAGACACAGCAAUCAAUAUACGGAAGAAGUACAUUGGUUCGGAGACACAUCAAUCAACAUAUGGACGAAGUACAUGGGUUCGGUCUGGAAAGGCGGGACAACUUGAAGCAAAGGCAGGAAGACUCCAAGCAGGGAGGGAGCUUCCCGGUUUCAGCUUCUACUCCUGCCUUGAAAAAUUCUUGCCUGCAAACCAUUUGGGAGGCCAGGAUUUGAAGAUGAGCUGUCUGGUCCUGCUUGUUUGGCACCCUGAAAAUAAAUGACUUCCUUUCUGCCACUGCAACCUCAGUGUGGAUAUCUGGUUUUACUGUGUUGGGUGAGUGGACUCCAGUUCUGUAACACCUUGCUGGUUACAAAGCCAAACUCUCAAAACAUAAAGAAAAACAAAAGGAAGAUAUUUUCAUAAUUUUCCUCCUUAAGACAAACCACACAAAAGACAGAGAUAAGGAAAACAAAGACCUCCUGGAAGGCUAAAGAUCAAUAACUAGGCUGGGCUUGGUGGCUCACGCCUGUAAUCCCAGCACUUUGGGAGGCCGAGGCAGGUGGAUCAUGAGGUCAGGAGAUGGAGACCAUCCUGGCUAACAUGGUGAAACCCCCUCUCUACUAAAAAUACAAAAAAUUACCCGGGCGUGGUGGUGGGCACCUGUAGUCCCAGCUACUCAGGAGGCUGAGGCAGGAGAAUGGCAUGAACAAGGAGGCGGAGCUUGCAGUGAGCCAAGAUCGCGUCUCUGCACUCCAGCCUGGGCGACAAAGCGAGACUCUGUCUCAACAAAAAAAAAAAAAAAAAGAUCAAUAACUAACAGGUGCCCAAACCAAAUCCACAAGAGUCACCAAUUCAAAUAAUUAAUUAUUUUUUCAAAAUCAUUUUUUUCUGUUGCAAAUUUGAAUUUAAAAAACAAAAAAAAUAGGAGUUUUGUUUUUUUUUUCCUUUCUCUCUCAGCGAGGCACUACACAUAGAGAUACGAGAGAGCUCACUUUGGUAAAAAUUCUCUUUUUUCUGCCAGCUUCUGCCACUUCUCCCAGGAUCACAUCUGCAGCUGUCAGGGCAAGUGGAGUGUGCCAGAAUCUCUUGGCUAGAUCACCAAAAUCAAGCAGAGAAAAUAAAAAUUUUAACUCAAUCCUCCCAAGUUCACAGUUGGAACAGACUCCUGUAACACGAGACUGAUUAACAAAAGAAAAAUAGGUGACUUAUUAACACAUGCAGUGCACAUCACCUGUGAGAAAAGGAACUCAAAGCAGUGAUCUAGGACUUACAUAAACAAAGAACAAUAAGUUUUAUACAAGUGACAAGACAAAGAAAAGCAGCACCAGACUUCCAAACACCAGAAACUGUGGGAAGGUAAAUAUAUGGAAAUACACUAACGAAGUAAAAAUCUGCUCACAGAUUCCUCUGAGCCAUUUCUGAGCUGAUGAGCGUUGGAGUGGAGAAUUUACAUCCGUGUUUAUGUGAGAAAACAAGGGAAGGAUAGGAAAGAUGUUUUCUUCUAUCAAUCUCUGUCCUGCUUUUAGGCAAACAGAGAGGGAAGGCAGAGACUCUUAGUUGAGAAUCUAAGUUGUCUUAGAGAAUCUUAGUUGUCUUCAGUUCAACAAUAUUUAUGUCAAAGAGGCAUACUUUGAGGUGACACAUUCUGGUUUCCUUCAGUUCAAAGACCAGAUUUUGAAGGAAAGACAUGACUGAUAAAGAUUAUUCAGGGAUUUGUUCCUCUCUCUUUAGUACAAAAUAGCUAUAAAAUUUAUGCUGUUCACAAAUGCUGGGGGAUUUGAAGAGUUGCUGAAUUUUGAGCCAAGGACAUGUGUAUGUAUAUAAACAAUGACAUGUAUAUAUUUUUUCUUUUUAUAAACUUGUAAAUUUCUUGAAAUCCAAAAUAAAUUCAUAUAAAUUUGUCCUCCAA
rnacentral:lncRNA from 10 species